UACGGAGGGUGCAGGCGUUAUCCGGAUUUACUGGGUUUAAAGGGUGCGUAGGUAGGUCUGUAAGUCAGUGGUGAAAUCUCCGAGCUUAACUCGGAAACUGCCAUUGAUACUAUAGGUCUUGAAUUAUCUGGAGGUAAGCGGAAUAUGUCAUGUAGCGGUGAAAUGCUUAGAUAUGACAUAGAACACCAAUUGCGAAGGCAGCUUACUACGGAUCGAUUGACACUGAGGCACGAAAGCGUGGGGAUCAAACAGG
rnacentral:rRNA from 1 species